GCCGCCGCUCGCGGGGUGCGCCGGGGGCUCCGAUGGGAACCGAGCGCGGGGGACCCGGGACCACACAGAGACCCCUGAGCUUAGAAGAAGCUGAGUCUCUUUGUGUCUUAUCUAGGUUGUAAAGAAUACCCCCCACAAACAAUGCAGGCUCUUCCGCAGUUCCGGGGACUAUUGAAGUCUGAAGGCAUACCCUUGGCAACUGGACAGUGUAACCCCGUAUACCGCUUCUAAAGGAAGAGUAAUGAAGAAGAGGAGUGUUCCAAAGGGGAUGAGGAACCAUCUGUUGUUAAGGAAGAGACACGACCUUCGCAGUCUGUUGAGCCGAGUUUGGAUCCCAGCACUGCCUCCUACUAAAGUGGAUGCCAUGGUUAUUGGGGUGUUCAGAGACAGAAUGUGUAUAGAAGAACACUAGUCCUGAUCGUGUAGUUUAGUGUGCCGUACGGACAUUUUAAAAGGCGAAGCUAAGUGGAAUUGCAGGCUGCCCUCAUAAAUUUCAUGGAAAGGUCAAGGCAGAACUACUUAACAUCUUCUGGCUAACAAGAAGCUCAUGGUGACAAGAAUGCUCAUCUGUGAUCGACUACGUCCUACAAAAGUGAGAUUCAGAGCUAGCACGAGGGCUGACAACCUGAGUUCAAGUCCUGGGACUCACAUGGUGGAAAGAGAGAACGGACUCCUGGCACCUAUCUUCUAAGCUCCCCAUGCAUGCUGAGACACAGCCCCCUCCCCUCUCCCCAGGUAAUAAAUGAGAUAUUAAAAAUAAAGAAGCAGCA
rnacentral:lncRNA from 1 species